rnacentral:sRNA from 1 species
CAGUGAAAAAUGUAGAAUUAAAAAUUAUAAGACUAGAAACCACCUUCUUUGCUAACUCAAUCUCCCUUGAGCUAGCUUUUUC